GUUGGAUCCAGGUGAACUGUCAGUUUGUGACGUCCCUCCAAGAAUCUUGAGAAUCUUCCUCUCUUCUUCAGUGAUCGUCAUGAAAUUCUGGGUCCUCCUUUUGGUUGUUUGGGUUGCUUUUGCCAUGGUGUCUGCUCGACCAUAUGAAGGUGAACAAGGGACUGAUAUUGCAGAGCAUGAUACUGGCCAUAGCUCUAAGAAUCAAGACCGUAUUCUAUGCCGUCUCUUAGGAAUUUGUGGUAGUUCAUGGUGGCGCUAAUAGGAUUUGGAUGUCGACAAGAUUUCUUUCAGCCUGAAAAUCCUUGUGCAGAUAAAUUGACAAUAACAGUGAAUGAUGAUACCAAUAAAGUAAACAUUUUAGUUGCAAA